UAAGGAAUAUUGGACAAUGGGCGCAAGCCUGAUCCAGCCAUGCCGCGUGAAGGAUUAAGGUCCUCUGGAUUGUAAACUUCUUUUAUAAGGGACGAAAAAAGGGAAUUCUUUCUCACUUGACGGUACCUUAUGAAUAAGCACCGGCUAACUCCGUGCCAGCAGCCGCGGUAAUACGGAGGGUGCAAGCGUUAUCCGGAUUCACUGGGUUUAAAGGGUGCGUAGGCGGGUAUUUAAGUCAGUGGUGAAAUCCUAGAGCUUAACUCUAGAACUGCCAUUGAUACUAUUUAUCUUGAAUAUUGUGGAGGUAAGCGGAAUAUGUCAUGUAGCGGUGAAAUGCUUAGUUAUGACAUAGAACACCUAUUGCGAAGGCAGCUUACUACGCAUAUAUUGACGCUGAGGCACGAAAGCGUGGGGAUCAAACAGG
rnacentral:rRNA from 1 species